UGGAGGAGGCGCCCAGGGCGGCAGGUGCUGGGGCGCUCACCUGGGGGACAGCGGUGACGAAAACGCCAGUGUUUUAGAGGCAAACGAGGGAUCUGGGAUACGACAUUGACAGGGACUAUUCCAGAACUUUGAACAUGAUAUUCACAUUUUUCAAAGUCUGGGAAACUCAAUAAUAGAACUGAAAUUAUGGUUCUUCAGCUAAAUGACGAUCUGCAGAGAAGCAAGGGAAAAGCCUGAAAUUUUGGCAUGGCCAACUCAGAGUGUGGAGUCAACGCAGGCAUCUAAUCUUAAUUGUGAUCUAAAUGUGAGUAUCGUACUUUUCUCAGUGUUUAGAAAAGAUGUUUUAAAUAAUUUAGAGUAAGUAUAUGCUUGCAAUUUUGUAUCCAGAAUUCCAAGCAAAUGCUUCCUGUGGCAUUUUUUUUUUUUUUUUGGAACAGAGUCUUACUCUGUU
rnacentral:lncRNA from 1 species